rnacentral:miRNA from 1 species
CAUCUGAGUCGGUGGUCUAUCUCGCUGGGGCCUCCAAAUGUUAUGGGUUGACUCAGCGAGAUAGACCACCGACUCAGAAUUUAAAUUUAGGAACCUUUAUUA